ensembl:rRNA 5S_rRNA 5S ribosomal RNA
GUCUGUGGCCAUACCACCCUGAACCUGUCCUGUCUCUGAUGUUGGGAACUAUGCAGGGCCGAGCCUAGUUAGUACUUGGAUGAGAGAUCCACAUCAAACAGAUGGGCCGAAAUAAAGG